rnacentral:lncRNA from 1 species
AGGUGUUUUGAUUAAAUGUGAGUUUGUAUAUCUUAAAAUUAGUCUGAAGUAACCCGGCCAGUGCAGGACCACAUGCCAUUCCAAGUGCACUAGCACUAACGAAGCCUGCUGAAGCCUGCAUGCGAAUCUUAAGUGGCACACAGUCGCUGAUAUAACGUCGGUUAACAGCUCUAGCUGAACCAAACUGCACAGAUAAGUGUUAUUACUGUCUAGACAACAAAAGAUAAAUCAUAUAUAUGCAUGGACGUGGCUGUUGCUGUGAUGUGCAAAGACAAAUUAAUUCCACAAAGUGAAAUACAUACCCGCAAAAUAGUCGUCCAAUAAGAAGAAUAGUUAUUGAAUUGAAAUCAAAGCCAACGCGUACAAGACAUUUCCUAGAAAAAGAGCUAUGCUGCUAAACAGCAAAGGCUUGAAGUAUGACUUGUUAGACCAAGCACUGAAGUAUACAGAAGAGAAAAUCUGAGCGACAGCCAUUGAUCCAAUUAUAACACC